CAACUGUGUCUGAUGGAAGAGAUAUUGGUGUGAAACUGGGACAAAGAGGAGUGUUGGAGUGUGAGGCUGAUGCAGUGCCUGAACCUGACUUUGAGUGGUACAAAGAUGAUAGAAGAUUCAUCAAUGGCUUGGACGGCAUGGAGAUAGUGAAUACUGGAUCGCUGUCCAAACUGACAUUUUUUAACGUGUCCGAUAGUGACUAUGGUAACUACACUUGUGUUGCCAUCAACAAACUUGGGAGUUCUAAUACAAGCUUUAUAAUUUAUGGAUCGAGAGCAGUUCAGGAUGGCAGUGGAUCUGCACUGGGUGCGCACUUGGACACCUACCUCCUCACCAUACUGUUUCUGCCCUUUCUGCUCAAAUUUUGAAGAGGAAUGGAUUUCACCAAGUUUUGAACGUUUGAGCAAAAAUGACAUUUGUUUUUUUCAAAAUCUGCAAACGUACUGAUGCACAGCAGUCCACAAAGUUGCUCUGUUGUGAUGUUAUCCCAUACAUGUGAUCUAAUUUUAGACAGUUGUCUUUUUCUCUUUGAAUUACCGUAUUU